GCAUGCCAUUUGCAAUAGCAGACAACCCAAUGUAUUGCAAAUGGGGUAUGUCCAGUCUUUUUAGUAGCCACUUAGUUACAUACACUGGCCAAAAUUGGUGUUCAAAUUAGUUUUUUUGCAUUUUCACACACAAACAAAUAUUAACACUAACUUUGGCCAGUGUUUGUGACCAAGUGGCUACUAAAAAAGUAUAAAAUAGCUUCUUAACACACAAAGUGCAAGUGAAACAGGGUGUUCUAGGUGGCACUCCUUAUGUAUAUAUGUGCGACUUCCCCAGUGUCCAAAACCACUCUAAAAAUACAUAACAGUAAUAAAACAUACAAGAAAGAUAAGGGGCGCAAGAAAUAGGUGUGAUAAUAAAAGUAUUAACAAAUAUUAUACUUAUUCACACUUGUCCUUCACUAUAUCUGAGCUCCCCGUAAAUAU